UGGAAUUCUUUGUUUUUUAGAAAAGUAUGAACAUGGAAAAUAUGCUUUGCUCAGGAAAUAGGGAAACUGUGUUGUUGUUGCAACAGGCACGUGGGUGCAUGACAUUUACUGGAUGAUAAUUGCUUGGGAGAGAUCUACUUUAGCUGCUAACACUCGCAAAAUCAACGUGUAAUACGAAUUUGGUGUCAGGCAAACUAAGUAGGUGGGAUUUCUAUUCAGCUAGCUGACUCCAAUCACAAUGCUUUGCACACGAGUGCAUGAUCCUAGUCUUUAAUCAGGAUUCAAAUACGCUUCCUAUUUGUACAUAUUUGACAAGAAAAGAAGCAUCCGAGAAGUACAGUAAUAUUACCAGUUGUAGCAUCUUUCAAUGGCUCUUUGCUAUUCUCCCGGAACUUAUGAUGCAUCCAGCCCCAAAACUGCCAGAAAAUAAGCUUUGUGGUGACCAACACCAAGAAAGCUACAAAAUUUUGGUUGGCCGUUCUCUAUCAAGAUCACAUCAAGAUCAAGUUGGAGGGCCAUUACAGAUGAGCCCCUACUGUUGUGGUUACAUGACGCGCAAAUUCAUUGGUGGAGUAGCUAUCCUUAAUUACAAUCAUCAAUCAUCUCAGAGAGUACUGCAUUGUUGAUCUUGCUGUCUCCGACAAGAAGAAAAUGCAUUUGGAUUGAUGACCAUCCUGCAGAAAAGUAAAGAAAGAGUACUUUUUCCAGGAAGCAUAUGGGAGCUCCGUGACAAAACAAGGAAGACUUUGGGGCUAGUUGAUUCAGACAAGUGAAGCUGUCCACGACAUCAGGGAAGCAUCUUGGGAUGAAACAAAGGAACAAACAGAA